rnacentral:lncRNA from 1 species
ACAUGACGCAAAACGAUGAGAUUAAAACAACGAGUGUUCAUGUUAGAUGUGAAAGAAAAUUUGAAGCAUAUAUUCGUCAUAUGACCCUUUAAACGAGUCCAUCAGAGAAGAGUAAAGAAGACUAAACCGAAACACAUAACGAUACAAAUCAAAUAGAGCGGCGCAUUUCAGUAGUCUAUCUAAUCACAAGCAGAGUCUUACAUUAGUCGAUCGUGUUGCGCUCGAGCAAAUUCUAAGACUAUAACACAUAUGCAGACAUAGAACACGGCAGAAAAUGUUAUCGAUUGUCCGUGUUCAAAGCAACGAGAAACUGGAAACCAGUAA